GAUGAACGCUAGCGGCAGGCCUAAUACAUGCAAGUCGAACGGUAACAUGAGUAGCAAUACUUGAUGACGAGUGGCGCACGGGUGCGUAACACGUAUGUAGUCUUCCCACAACUGGGGGAUAGCCCGGAGAAAUCCGGAUUAAUACCCCAUAACCCAGCGAGGUGGCAUCACCUUUCUGGUAAAUCUCCGGAGGUUGUGGAUGAACAUGAGUCCGAUUAGCUAGUUGGCGGGGUAACGGCCCACCAAGGCUACGAUCGGUAGGGGUACUGAGAGGUUAAACCCCCACACUGGUACUGAGACACGGACCAGACUCCUACGGGAGGCAGCAGUAAGGAAGAUUGGACAAUGGAGGCAACUCUGAUCCAGCCAUGCCGCGUGAAGGAUGAAGGCGCUAUGCGUUGUAAACUUCUUUUGAACGGGAAAAAACCCCUUUACGUGUAAAGGGUUGAUUGUACCGUUAGAAUAAGGGUCGGCUAACUUCGUGCCAGCAGCCGCGGUAACAC
rnacentral:rRNA from 1 species